rnacentral:rRNA from 1 species
CAGUCGCCGCGGUAAUACGGAGGGAGCUAGCGUUGUUCGGAAUUACUGGGCGUAAAGCGCACGUAGGCGGCUUUGUAAGUUAGAGGUGAAAGCCUGGAGCUCAACUCCAGAACUGCCUUUAAGACUGCAUCGCUUGAGUCCAGGAGAGGUGAGUGGAAUUCCGAGUGUAGAGGUGAAAUUCGUAGAUAUUCGGAAGAACACCAGUGGCGAAGGCGACUCACUGGACUGGUAUUGACGCUGAGGUGCGAAAGCGUGGGGAGCAAACAGGAUUAGAGACCCCGGUAGUCCCUGUCUCUUAUAC